AGCGAGUUGGCGCAGAGGAAGCGCAUAGGGCCCAUAACCCUAGGGUCGGUGGAUCGAAACCAUCACUCGCUA